AUCUAGCUGACGAAUCCCGAAUAGGAUGGAACGCGCAUCCUGGAU
rnacentral:hammerhead_ribozyme from 1 species